AUUGAACGCUGGCGGCAUGCCUUACACAUGCAAGUCGAACGGCAGCACGGGUGCUUGCACCUGGUGGCGAGUGGCGAACGGGUGAGUAAUACAUCGGAACAUGUCCUGUAGUGGGGGAUAGCCCGGCGAAAGCCGGAUUAAUACCGCAUACGAUCCACGGAUGAAAGCGGGGGACCUUCGGGCCUCGCGCUAUAGGGUUGGCCGAUGGCUGAUUAGCUAGUUGGUGGGGUAAAGGCCUACCAAGGCGACGAUCAGUAGCUGGUCUGAGAGGACGACCAGCCACACUGGGACUGAGACACGGCCCAGACUCCUACGGGAGGCAGCAGUGGGGAAUUUUGGACAGUGGGCGAAAGCCUGAUCCAGCAAUGCCGCGUGUGUGAAGAAGGCCUUCGGGCUGUAAAGCACUUUUGUCCGGAAAGAAAUCCUUGACUCUAAUACAGUCGGGGGAUGACGGUACCGGAAGAAUAAGCACCGGCUAACUACGUG
rnacentral:rRNA from 1 species